UACGUAGGGUGCAAGCGUUAUCCGGAAUUAUUGGGCGUAAAGAGCUCGUAGGCGGUUUGUCGCGUCUGCUGUGAAAACCCGAGGCUCAACCUCGGGCCUGCAGUGGGUACGGGCAGACUAGAGUGCGGUAGGGGAGAUUGGAAUUCCUGGUGUAGCGGUGAAAUGCGCAGAUAUCAGGAGGAACACCGGUGGCGAAGGCGGGUCUCUGGGCCGAUAUUGACGCUGAGGAGCGAAAGCGUGGGGAGCGAACAGG
rnacentral:rRNA from 1 species